GAAGGUAGGAAUCUAGGACCGAAAGUGGACACCAUUUGUUGUGGGUAGGAUAGUAUGUUAUCUCUACUGUUGGUGUAUGUUGACUCGUUUCAGAAUGUGAUAGAGCCAAUAGGUAAUGAUAUAUGUGUAUACGUACGUGGGAUCAUUGAAGACCAUGAUCUGUCUGAGUGGUGGUGAUGGUAGUGGAUUCUCUGGCCUGAGAAAGGCAUAGAAGGCAAUGUCCAUGGCUGGUAAUGAC
rnacentral:lncRNA from 1 species